UGGGGAAUAUUGGGCAAUGGGCGAAAGCCUUACCCAGCAACGCCGCGUGAGGGGAGAAGGUUUUCGGAUUGUAAACCUCUGUCCUGGGGGACGAAGGAAGUGACGGUACCCCGGGAGGAAGCCCCGGCUAACUACGUGCCAGCAGCCGCGGUAAUACGUAGGGGGCGAGCGUUGUCCGGAAUUAUUGGGCGUAAAGGGCGCGUAGACGGCCGAGUAAGUUAUAGGUGAAAGCCCAUCUUUCAAGGAUGGAAUUGCCUGUAAUACUGCCUGGCUUGAGUGCAGGAGAGGGAAGCGGAAUUCCUAGUGUAGCGGUGAAAUGCGUAGAUAUUAGGAGGAACACCAGUGGCGAAGGCGGCUUUCUGGACUGCAACUGACGUUGAGGCGCGAAAGCGUGGGGAGCAAACAGGAUUAGAUACC
rnacentral:rRNA from 1 species